UUAUCUGCUACGUUCGAAUAUAUGCAUAUAUAAUGGAGAAAGGAAGUUCGCUACACCUCUCUUAAGCUAUCUCAUUUGUGAAUGCAACAGAGGCGUUUCAAAUUCAGAAUAACUCACUUUACAUAACUUGGCAAAUAAACGAGAGUUGAGUGCAUUCGCUUUGAUGAAGUUUACCACUGUAAUCACGUAAUUCAGAACAAACCAGCAGAUAGUUAUCUACAUAACGUACAUAGACGCAAAUUUGGGUUAAGUUAGAAACAUCUAUCGUUUCAUCAAACUGGAUCGUGAAAAAGUUCAAAAGCAAAUUCUGAAUCUUAGAGACCAACUGUGACAGAAUGCUACCAGACAACUCAGUUAUGGAUCGGCUAACAGUAUCAUUUGAGAGAGAGAGAGAGAGAGAGAGAGAUGUUCUAGCUUCUGAAGUUCAGAACUUCCUAGCACAUUCGAUAUGAGAUCUCUGUAGCAAGGCAAUAUCAACUCUUUGUCGAUAUUUUCCUGGUGUUAUAACGAAGUACUUGUAACCAAUAAUAACCAACAGCUAUCUUCCUUGAAACCUUAUAGGAUGCUUUCAAACCAGCUGUAAUGUCUAGUGAAAGCAUUCCUGUGUCAUCAAGCCUGGACUUCGUCAAUCUGUUGGUUUUGUGUCUGAAAAAGACAACAUUUCUAUUUAUUGAACUGGGAUGCUUCGUUUCAAAGUGCCCCUUUAAUUAGCUGGGCUUUAGUGGAGAUAAGGAAUGGCAUCUUUUUGUUCUGGUGCAGACAUUAAGUUUCCUCUGAAAAUAUAAAUAGAACCACUCUCAAAGCCCCAGAGUCAGUAAUUUUUGAUCACUCCAAUGCAAUGGUCAGUACUUUUUCCUUCAUUUUGCUUUCUAGCAGACAGCUUGACCUGUUAGACAUACUGCUUCCACCACUUCUCAUAGGGCACAAAUAAGAAUAUUCUCAUUUGCCACUAUUGCCUGCUGCUACUAACUCAAGACCUGUCACACUGACCAGAGCUAUUGACUUAACAACUGCUGAAGGUGAAUGUCUGUCACAUCAAUCACACAAGUCUUGGAGGACUUGGGAAGAUCACAGACAUAACCAACUUCCUCCUAGCCAAACCAUCAAAAAAUAAUAUUAUCAAAGUUCUUCAAAGCUGAUCAUAUCAACUGAUUGAUGUCUUCUGUAACAACAAGUCUCCUCAACUGUGAAACACUGUCAAGAUCUCAUUUCAAAUGUCUCUCCAUCUUUUGAACAGUUCCUUUGAUGUUCUUUGUGCUUCAAUGACAAGGAAUAACUUACACGCACAUUUUCCAGAGCCUGAACUCUCUCAUAUUCUUCUCCAACUUCACUUUCUAUUUCCUGCUAUUUUAUCUGCUCUUGCAACACAUCAAAAUAUUUCAAUAACUCACCCAUAAGUAGUGAUCUUAUUGCCCUCUUGUCCGAGAGGACGAUUCCCUUUUAUCAUUACAAGCUUAAUCUUGGUGCCAAACUAUUUGCUGAAAUUUAUCACAGACUGUUAUGGAAGAAUCUUGUCUCUUCUACCGACUAAAAUAACAUUUAAGAUCACCCUUGAAAAUUACAUGGUUGAUUCCUUCAUUACUUUUGAUUUGAUGGUACCAUGUUUUGCAUUUUCAUAAUAAUAGUAAUAAUAAUAAUAAUGUUUUGAAUUAAGACACAAGGCCAGCAAUUUUGAAGGAUGGGUCUUAGUCAUUAUCAGAAAUGCUAGUACUUGACCGAUACUUUAUCUUAGCAACUUAGAAAGGAUGAACAACCAAGUUGACUUCAGCAGGAUU